AUGGCAGAUGUGGCCUGUCUGGAGCUCCUGGGCUCCAGUCUUAUCAUCCUGUCCCAGCUGUUCAUGUAGGUGAAAGUGCUCAUCCAGGUGAGAGAUGAGCCUCUUCCUCCAACAAUAGGAUGAAAUAUUUUGGGGCGGCAAGUAUGUCAGCUUCCUGGGCUCUUUUGUUAUGCUCAGCACAUUGCAAGCAUUGAUGGGAAGCGUUGCUUGUUCACAGGCUUAACUCCAAGACUGUGUUCAGGAAUCCUUGGAACUGUGGUCCAUAAUCAAGUUUUACAGCGCUAUCAAGACCUGGACAAACCUGAGGAGUCAGGAAUUGGAAGUUUCCAUAGAGAAGGCUCAUGUUCUUUUGGCCAAAUUAUCAAAGAGACAACUCAAGAGAUGACCGCUCAUUCUACUGCUACCUCAUUUACACAUCCCUUCCGUGUGAUCACUCUGAGAUCUAUGAUACAAUUCAUUGGCAGAGAAUCGAAAUAUUGUGGACUGUGUGACUCCACGUUAACCAUCUAUCAGGAAGAGGUCAUACUGGGGUUUUUUGCGGGUCUCAUUCCUCGCCUUCUAGGUGACGUCAUUUCUCUGUGGCUCUGUAACUCCGUGGCCUACCUCAUCAACACCUAUGCACUGGACAGUGGGGUUUCUACCAUGAAUGAAAUGAAAAGUUAUUCCCAAGACGUCUCAGGAUUCUUUGCCGGUGUGUUGACCUAUCCCUUUGUGCUUGCAUCUAAUCUUAUGACUGUCAACAACCACAGGCUUGCUGGUGGAUCCCUUCCUUACUCUCCACUGUAUACUUUUUGGGUAGAUUGCUGGUACAUGCUGCAAAAAGAGGGAAAUAUGAGCCGAGGAAAUACCUUGUUUUUCCAGAAGGUCUCCUGUAGGAAGACUUAUUGUUAUGACCUGAGAAUGUUAAUUUGA